rnacentral:rRNA from 1 species
UACGUAGGGUGCAAGCGUUAAUCGGAAUUACUGGGCGUAAAGCGUGCGUAGACGGUUAUGUAAGUCAGGUGUGAAAGCCCCGGGCUCAACCUGGGAAUGGCAUUUGAGACUGCAUAGCUAGGGUGCGGAAGAGGGAAGCGGAAGUUUCCGGUGUGAGCGGUGAAAUGCGUAGAUAUACGGAAGGAACACCAGUGGCGAAAGCGGCUUCCUGGUCCAGCACCGACGUCAGGCACGAAAGCGUGGGGAGCAAACAGGA